GACAGAGGGUGCAAGCGUUGUUCGGAAUUACUGGGCGUAAAGCGUGUGUAGGCGGCCUUAUAAGUCGGAUGUGAAAGCCCCGGGCUCAACCCGGGAAGUGCACUCGAUACUGUGAGGCUCGAGUAUCGGAGAGGUUGGUGGAAUUCUCGGUGUAGAGGUGAAAUUCGUAGAUAUCGAGAGGAACACCGGUGGCGAAAGCGGCCAACUGGACGAAUACUGACGCUGAGACACGAAAGCGUGGGGAGCAAACAGG
rnacentral:rRNA from 1 species